GCCACAUGAUGAGCACAGAGCAGCACGAGCCUUCGGGCUGUGAUGACCUCCCAUCUAUCACCCUACUCUGAUGGCU